ensembl:misc_RNA Metazoa_SRP Metazoan signal recognition particle RNA
GCCAGGUGUGGUGGCACACACCUGUAGUCCCAGCUACCAGGGAGGCUGAGGCAGGAGGAUCACUUGAGCCCAGGAGUUCAAGGCUGCGGUGAGCUCUGAUUGCGCCACUGCACUCCAGCCUGGGCAACAGAGUGAGACCCUGUCUGUC